rnacentral:rRNA from 1 species
GAGUUGUAAUUUGCAGAGGGCGCUUUGGCUUUGGCAGCGGUCCAAGUUCCUUGGAACAGGACGUCACAGAGGGUGAGAAUCCCGUACGUGGUCGCUGGCUAUUGCCGUGUAAAGCCCCUUCGACGAGUCGAGUUGUUUGGGAAUGCAGCUCUAAAUGGGAGGUACAUUUCUUCUAAAGCUAAAUAUUGGCCAGAGACCGAUAGCGCACAAGUAGAGUGAUCGAAAGAUGAAAAGCACUUUGGAAAGAGAGUCAAACAGCACGUGAAAUUGUUGAAAGGGAAGCGCUUGCAGCCAGACUUGCUUACAGUUGCUCAUCCGGGUUUUUACCCGGUGCACUCUUCUGUAGGCAGGCCAGCAUCAGUUUGGGCGGUAGGAUAAAGGUCUCUGUCACGUACCUCCUUUCGGGGAGGCCUUAUAGGGGAGACGACAUACUACCAGCCUGGACUGAGGUCCGCGCAUCUGCUAGGAUGCUGGCGUAAUGGCUGUAAGCGGCCCGUCUUGAAACACGGACCAAGGAGUCUAACAUCUAUGCGAGUGUUUGGGUGUCAAGCCCGAGCGCGUAAUGAAAGUGAACGGAGGUGGGAACCCGCAAGGGUGCACCAUCGACCGAUCCUGAUGUCUUCGGAAGGAUUUGAGUAAGAGCAUGGCUGUUGGGACCCGAAAGAUGGUGAACUAUGCUUGAAUAGGGUGAAGCCAGAGGAAACUCUGGUGGAGGCUCGCAGCGGUUCUGACGUGCAAAUCGAUCGUCAAAUUUGGGCAUAGGGGCGAAAGACUAAUCGAACUAUCUAGUAGCUGGUUCCUGCCGAAGUUUCCCUCAGGAUAGCAGUAACGUAUUCAGUUUUAUGAGGUAAAGCGAAUGAUUAGAGGCCUGGGGGUUGAAACAACCUUCACCUAUUCUCAAACUUUAAAUAUGUAAGAAGUCCUUGUUACUUAAUUGAACGUGGACAGUUGAAUGAAACGUUAUUAGUGGGCCAUUUU